rnacentral:rRNA from 1 species
CGGACGGGUGAGUAACACGUGGAUAACCUACCUAUAAGACUGGGAUAACCUCGGGAAACCGGAGCUAAUACCGGAUAAUAUAUUGAACCGCAUGGUUCAAUAGUGAAAGACGGUUUUGCUGUCACUUAUAGAUGGAUCCGCGCUGCAUUAGCUAGUUGGUAAGGUAACGGCUUACCAAGGCAACGAUGCGUAGCCGACCUGAGAGGGUGAUCGGCCACACUGGAACUGAGACACGGUCCAGACUCCUACGGGAGGCAGCAGUC